rnacentral:miRNA from 1 species
UCAUCCAAACUGGGCACACUGUC